AAUGUCGUAAAGUCAGAUACUGCCGUAUAAAACCCGAUGCUCUUCUUUCAGUCUUUCUUAACAUCGGUGCGCUCACGAGUGGAUGUCUGGUGUAAUAACUAGGGAAUUCGGAGGUCUCCCAAUGUUGUUGGAAGCCUUUUGUGACGGGCCUUCUACAUAUGGGUUUGGAUGAAGUUGAUGGACACCUUGUGAUGGACAAAGCAAUGGUUCCAUUCACUUACAGAUACCCGAGCAGGAUAUACAUGCCCAUUUUUAUCAAGUUAAACUGGAGGUGCAAACUGGUCCUUUCUUGCUGCUCAGGAAGGUUAUCAUAAUGGUGUGAUCUGCAAGAUGACCACUAGGUGGAGUGCCAUCACUUUCUGGUGAAGCUCGGAAGUUCAUUUUUGGUCCCACUUGACUAGUUAUUGGCAGGCCAUCAUUCUUCAGUGAAGGGCUAAGGGUUAAAGUGAAGAGUGGAGUGAAGAAUUUCCCAGCCGAGGUUUACUUGGAAGUUGGGUGCUGGCAAGGCUAUACUGAUUAAAUCUGUACUGCACAGGAAAUGUUAACUUGGCUGAGCUUUGGAGUGUCACUUGAAUGUGUGAAACCAAUUUGUAAGUUUACAAUAAACUCAUUUAAAAAUG